rnacentral:lncRNA from 1 species
UUACCUUCUCUAACAAAAGGCCUCUCCUUCCAAUGAUCCGACUUUGACGAGAAGACAUCUACUUCAAACAAAAUUCAGUGUAUCAACUCCAUGUACUCCUUGCGUACUCUUUCUGUUAAAUUCAGUGCAUCUACUGGAAACAAAGUUCAGUAAAUUUCCAGCAACUAGUCCUACGGCAAAAAGGUUUAGUGAAUUAAGCAUGCAGAGAUACCUCUCACAACUUGAUUCACAUUGAUGGAUUACUGUCACGAGCCUGUCAAAAAAGGAUUACUGUCACGAGCCUGUCACAUUGAUUCACAUUGAUGGAUUAAACAUUACCUAUCAAAAAAGUUCAGUAAAUUCAGAGGAGGGCUCGCAAGUAGGCCAAGAGAGCAAAGGAGGGGCUUACCAUCAGCUAUGCGGGAGCCGGACAAGGUAGCACUGGCUGAGACAGUCGAUGGAGAUACCGAGGUCACCGGGCACGGGGGGCGUUAUGGUUUCUUGGCCUGCUG